rnacentral:RNase_P_RNA from 2 species
AAUUUCGAGUAAUCGCGGUCGGUCUUGAACCGGCUGAGGAAAGUCCACGCUCGCACAGGCUGCGAUGCCUGUAGUGUUCGCGCUUAGCCCAAUAAGCUAAGGUACUUCUUCGGAAGUAACGGCAGCCUAUUGACCUAACAUCUUUGGAUCAUGGUCAAGGCUUGAAGGUGCCACAGAGACGAAUCAUUUGCGAAAGUGAAUGAAUGGAACGGGUAAACCCCGCGAGCGAGCAACCCAAAUUUUGGUAGGGGAGUCCUACGGCGGCAAAUGAACCUAAAGUAGGAGCGGUAGCAGAUAGAUGAUUACUGAUGAUCGAGAUUGCCUAGUCUCGGUCGGAACAAAACGUGGCUUAUAGAA